AUUCAGAAAAGCAGUUUCAGGCUCCAAAACUCAAUGCCAAACAGGGCUUUAGAUGUUGCAAAAAAGCAGUUUCAAACUGCUAUUUAGAACAUUUACAUUUAAAACAAUCUUUAAUGGCCUCUAAUCAAACAUAUUCAAGAUGAUUUCUCAAUUGCAACUCUAACAAUAAUACCAAAUAGAUCUUAUGUAGGUUUAAAAAUGUUGACUACCUAAAAAAAACAUCACAUAGGUUUUCAAGAAAUUGUUACACAAUCUAUAGAACGAAUACUAUAUAGGUUUUUAAAAAAAAAUGCUUGACCUAUCUAUAGAAAAUUUUCACAUCCUAAUUCUAGUUGAAUUCAUAAUUAGGAAUGGAACAAACAUGGAUAUAUGCAAACUCUUUUUAGUUAAUAAAGCAAAACAGAAUGAGUGUUUUGCACCAAUAAUACCCAAAGAGCUACUUGUUUAUCACUCAUGUAAAGGUCAUAGUUAUUAAGGCACAGAUGCACUAAGGUGCUAAG
rnacentral:misc_RNA from 1 species